ensembl:lncRNA
GGAAAUCGGCCGAGCAGAGAGAACAUUAUUAACUGCAAUCCAGAAUCAGAUGACGUUUGGCUUUCCCCUGUAAACCCCGGAGGUGCAGUAACCAAAUCGAGCUGACAUUUGAGGUGUCACCACUUCACUGCAGGCUUAAACAAGCGCACUACUUUGAGAGUGACUACUGUGCAUGUGUGAAGUCAUGCUGCCUCACUGAGGCUGCCGUUCAAGCCAGACUACCUCGAGACAAAUAAAGGAGAGUGUUGUUGUUAUAGCAGUGAGCUGAGCUGUGUCGCCGAUUCCAAACCAACCAGCAGGAAUUGUCCUGUCAACUCUAUUGAACUCCGAAAGUUUCAAAUAAACCAGAAUUGCUGUUUUGAAACAUCUCUUGGCCGGAAUGUACAACAAAUUGCCUUCAUUUCAGCUGUCACACUUGUGCCACAUUGAAAAAAACUAACAAACAACGCUAAACUCAGCACUUGGAUUGAACCUGUGGAGAAUCUUGACCGCUCUUGGCCGACACCUCUCGCCCUUAAAUCACAUUUCAAAUCCAAAUACGAACACUAUAUAAAAAUCCCAACCAUAAAGCUGUUUCACUGCCGUUUUAAAGGCAUGCUCCAAUUUGGUACUAGUCAGGGUAGUUUGGAAUGAUGAUCUUAGAAUUGUGUCCUUUGAAAUGUAUAACUUGACUUUGGUCUUAAUUCGCUAAAUGUUUGCUCGUGUAAAAACUCAUGCAAACUUGAUCAUGCCUGCAGAGAACGUGCAAGCUGAUUUUACCAACAGGCUGCACAGAUGAUUGCGUCUUGUCCGGUUUGAAUGUGCAGAUUGGGUUGUUUUUCCUAAAGGUGUGGAAGGAACACAGGGCUGUGACAAUGCAAACCGAUUCAUUUUGUAUCCGUAGUGCAAUUUGCUUGAAACUAAGCCUGAAAGUCACUUUGUGACUGCUUAUGCAAAUUAGGAUAUCUACAGAGCAUGUACGGUGUCCUUCACUAAUAUUGGCACCCUUGGUAAAUAGGAGCAAAGAAGGCUGU